AAAUAAAAAAAAGAGUGUCGUGUCGCGUUGAAUUCAAAGAAAAGCGAAGAAACACUCCUCCGCAUAUACAUACAUAUGUUGCAGCUGAGGUGAACACCUCGAAAAUCAAUUGAACUGCAAGCAGAUAUAGGCCACACCGAAAAUUCGCGUGCAUUGAAAAUGUUUUGCGUGUGUGUUUGUGUCUUUUGUAGAGUUUGAAGACUGUGGAAUAUUAUAUUGCCAAGUGUUUGCUGGUAGUAUUUCGAUUAGAUUUUUUUUUUUGCCUUAAAAAUCAAAUAGGCAGCUAAGAAAUGAUGUUGCACGAGGCGGUUAUGCUGGAAAUUUACAGGCAGGCGCUCACGGCAAGUGAGUUGACCAGCCCGCGCUGUCAAUCCCGAGAAUCGAAUGUUUCUGCAGCAGCAAUGGAGGGCAGAUGCCCCUCGAAUGGCUCACACUGCUCUGGCAAUGAGCGAACUACGACGCCAGCAGCCACCUCGCUUUCCAGCACACCACCUGCAGGACUACCGCUGUCGGCCACGCUAGCACCGGCUGCUGCAGCUGCCUUGUUGCCACCACAGUCUGCUGCUAUGGCUGCAUACUUCAAUGCAGCUGCAGCAGCAGCAGCACAACAAAAUCACUUGCUGCUGACCAAUCCACUAGCGGCCGCGGCCUCCUUGGUACAACAAGCAACACGAACGCAUACGCCAACUACAAAUCGCACGCCACCCUCACCACAAACAGACGCCACAAAUGAUGAACCAGUGCUGGACUUUAGCACGAAACGCCGACGGGAUUCUGAGCAUGAAAGUGACGACGAUGAGGCCGAUGAUAAGAUGGAGGACGAUGACAACUGCGGAUCGGGCAGUGGCACAGAUGCAGCAGUCGAUGUGAAUAGUCCGCUUGAUUUGUCGGUCGGACGUAAACGUGAAGCUACCGAUGAGGAGGCACAACACAUGCCAAUACGGAAAACAUUACGCACCACGCACGACUAUAAAGCGCUGCCACCUGUUGCCAGUAAUUGGGUGCCAACUAUUAAUCCAUAUCUAGCCGCAGUGGCGGCGGCUAGUUUAUCACCCAAAUCGCCACUCUCGCCACUGGAGUGGAGCGGAAAGCACAAACUUUUGCCAAAUGAAGCUACCAAAGCACUAGAGAAAAUGACUGAAAUGACAAGACUCGGCUCGGCGACAGAUAGUGCCGAGCUACCACCGCAUCGACAAAUAAGCGCGACAGCCAACAAUGCGGGAAACUCCGGCGGCGGCGGCGGCGGUGGUGGUGGUGGUGGACGGCACAGUGCAUGGCAGUCGCAUUGGCUGAAUAAGGGGGCGGACGCUGUGAGAGAUGUCUUCAAAUGUGUUUGGUGUAAGCAAAGUUUUCCCACACUGGCCUCAUUAACAGCACACAUGAAGGAGACGCAACACUGUGGUGUUAGCAUGCCUCCAACGGGCGCUAGUUGUGCACCAAGUAAUAGCAGCGGUGGCGGCGGCGGCGGCAGCGGCUGCAAUCAGACAACUCAAUCGACACAUCACUUACGUCACUCCGCUAAUACCAACACAUCGCUCGCCGCCACAUCCGCCACAACGGCUGCAGCGACCACUUCGUCCACGUCCAAUAAAUCUGAUCUCAAUUUGUUAAUCAAAGAAACGAUGCCAUUGCCACGCAAGCUAGUGCGUGGCCAAGAUGUCUGGCUCGGCAAAGGUGCAGAGCAAACGCGCGAAAUACUGAAGUGCAUGUGGUGCGGCCAGAGUUUUCGCUCGCUAGCCGAAAUGACAUCGCACAUGCAGGAGACACAACACUACACGAACAUAAUAUCCCAGGAGCAGAUCAUUUCAUGGAAGUCGACGGACGAUAAAAACUCGAACAGCGGCAGCGGCUCCAACUCGAAUGGCGCAUCAUCAACAUCACCUGUCGUGAUAUCGCCACCGUCUGCCGGCAUGGUUCAUCCAGCGGCGGGCGCUGUUAUUUCUAGCCCCAACAACACAACGUCGGCUACUGUAAGCGCUGUGCUAACAUGCAAGGUGUGCGAUCAGGCCUUUCCAUCGCUCAAGGAACUAAGCAAUCACAUGAUGAAGAAUGCACACUACAAGGAGCACAUGAUGCGUGCAAUCGGCGGCAGCGGCGCUGGCGGUGGUGGUUGUGGUGGAGAGCAUACGACGAGCGCGUCAGCAACGCCGUCCGCACGGCGUGGACGACAAAUGCGUGAAAAACGUAAAAAGUCGUUACCAGUGCGUAAGCUACUGGAGUUGGAACGCGCGCAACAAGACUACAAAAAUAAUAGUUUGGAUCCGGCUUUGAAGCCGUUACGUGACUUUGCCGCCACAACUAAGAUCACAUGCGAAAAAUGUGGCGAGAAAAUCGAGACAGCGCUAUUCGUUGAUCACAUCAGGCAGUGUCUGGGCGGAAUGUUGAUGGUGCCCGCGCGCAAUCGCAACAACGACGUCUUGAAGCCGACAUUCAAUCCGAUGAGCUGCUUGGAACAGCUCACCAGUCCACAGACCCCGACUAGUCAUAGUGAUGGCCGCAAAACAGCCGACAGCAAUGUGUCACACGCAUCAACACGCCCGGAAAUAAUUUGCCCGCUACCCAAGGAAGGCGAAAAGGCGAGUAAUUCUACACCAUCAGUACUCAAUGCCAUCGAACAGCUGAUCGAGAAGAGUUUCGAUACACGCAUGCGCAACAGCAGCUCCUACUCAUCGAACGGUAAUGGCAGUCAACGCAGCACACCACUAGGCUCGAGUAUAUUGAAGCGUCUAGGCAUUGAUGAUUGCGUGGACUAUACCAAACCGCUCAUAGAUCCACAAACCAUGCACUUUAUGCGCUCAUACUCGAGCUUCUCGGCGCGUGACCGCAGCGCUAGCGAGUCCAGUUCGAUUUCCGAACGCUGCAAUAGUCGCAUUGAAUCGUUUACACCCGAACGUAGUGUGCAGGAACGCGUACGACAGUCCACACCACGUCUAACGCCAGAAAAGUUCAACACAACAGAAACAAUAACAAACGCUGACGUGCACGCUGAGCUCAUCAAUAUGAAUAUAAAAACAGAGCCUUCGGAAACGUCUAACGAACCGCAAGAGCUAACCAUUAAUGGCAGUAAAGAUGCCGCCGAUGCUGUGUCACCACAGAAAAUCUCCGUGAAAAAGGAAUUCAAUAUGAUUGAUAGCCAAGAAGAUGAACGACAGCAAUCAAGCGAUUCGCUUCACUAUAAGCCACAAGCGGAGACGCCCGGCUCGCGUGCUACCAGCCCCAGCGCAAGCGACGAACGCUCAAUUACGCCCAAAUCCACAUCAUCCUUGGCUGAGAAGCGAUUUGCGCCAGCUGGUAGUAGCCUCACAGCACUCUCUUCAAUGUUCGACAAUCUAAACAAUAUGAGCUCGAAUGCAGUUAGUGCACAGUCGCACGCUGCAGACACUUUGAUUGGUGUUGGCGAAACCAACAAUAAUAACAACAACAACACAAAUAAGAAGCCGAAUGCCAAUCCAUUGGCUGCACUUCAGAAACUCUGCGAAACUACAGAGAAGCCGGCAACAAAGUCACGCAGCAAUGCCGUCAAUGGCAUCAAUCAUAACACCCAGCUAACUGGCAACAUGAUGGCCUUCAGCUGGGCUUGCAAUGAUGCGGUGCAGAAUUCGAAUGCCGAAUCUAUGAUCAAGUGUUCGCAAUGUGAUGCAGUCUUCAGCUCAAAGGGUGCUUAUCGUCAUCACUUCUCGAAGAUGCAUUACAUGAAGGACGACGUAGGCGAAGUGAAUGCCAUUAAAUCACCAACGCUGGCGUGCUCACCGAAAUCGGCAGCCACAUCGCCGAAGAGCGCCUCAAAGAGUCCAUUGGGUGCGGGCGGCAACAUGGCUGCGCCAAUCAUUAAUCCAUACAGCGAAAGCUCACAAUCAAAGUUCCUCAAAUACACCGAGUUAGCCAAGCAAUUGUCAUCGAAGAAUGCAUAAGCGAUGUGUUGUAUAUAGUUUCCUAAUUAAGUGCUAAGCCCUAAACUAUUGGUACUGAACAAAUCUUUCCUUCCAACUAUAAAUUCACAGAAGCAGCGACUUAUAAGCGGGAAAUACUACAUUAUCGUUUAAAAAUACAUAUGCGUACAUAAAUACAAAUACAAAGUGAGAAAAAAUGUAUAGUUUCGAACAUUCAAAAAAGUAUGUAUAUAAUCUGCAAUCAAAAAGCAGGAAAGAAAUUACUUGUAUCAUAGCAAUCCCUUUAUCAGGCCUAAUAUGCAUGGAGUAUAGCCAUUACUUAAACAAAAUACUCGAUUUUACUAUUCAUAGUAAGAAAGCAAAAAAAAAAAAGCAAAAACAACAACACUAAAUCUUCCUUUUAGUAGACACCAAAUCAGUGUAAAAUAAAAGAAAAAAUUUAAGUAAAUAAACAAGAACAAAUAAUGCAACAUAUGUAUACGCAAAAUGAUACCUAAUAUACACAAGUACAUACCUACAACUAAAUAAUACAUGCAUAUUUUCCAUAUACAAACAUAAAUUGUAUUAAAAAGUUAUACUAGCAUAUUAAAAAAGAAAUA